GAUGAACGCUGGCGGCGUGCUUAACACAUGCAAGUCGAACGGAAAGGCCGAAGCUUGCUUCGGUACUCGAGUGGCGAACGGGUGAGUAACACGUGGGUGAUCUGCCCUGUACUUCGGGAUAAGCUUGGGAAACUGGGUCUAAUACCGGAUAUGACGAUCUCUCGGAUGGGGUUGUGGAAAGCUUUUGCGGUAUGGGAUGAGCUCGCGGCCUAUCAGCUUGUUGGUGGGGUAAUGGCCUACCAAGGCGUCGACGGGUAGCCGGCCUGAGAGGGUGUACGGCCACAUUGGGACUGAGAUACGGCCCAGACUCCUACGGGAGGCAGCAGUGGGGAAUAUUGCACAAUGGGCGCAAGCCUGAUGCAGCGACGCCGCGUGGGGGAUGACGGCCUUCGGGUUGUAAACUCCUUUCGCAAUCGACGAAGCCUUUUGGUGACGGUAGGUUGAGAAGAAGCACCGGCUAACUACGUG
rnacentral:rRNA from 1 species